rnacentral:rRNA from 1 species
UAGGGAAUCUUCCGCAAUAGGACGAAAGUCUGACGGAGCAAACGCCGCGUGAGCGAAGAAGGCCUUCGGGUCGUAAAAGCUCUGUUGUUAGGGAAGAACAAGUAUCGGAGUAACUGCCGGUACCUUGACGGUACCUAACCAGAAAGCCACGGCUAACUACGUGCCAGCAGCCGCGGUAAAUACGUAGGUGGCAAGCGUUGUCCGGAAUUAUUGGGCGUAAAGCGCGCGCAGGCGGUCCUUUAAAGUCUGAUGUGAAAGCCCACGGCUCAACCGUGGAGGGUCAUUGGAAACUGGGGGACUUGAGUGCAGAAGAGGAGAGUGGAAUUCCACGUGUAGCGGUGAAAUGCGUAGAGAUGUGGAGGAACACCAGUGGCGAAGGCGACGUCUCUGGUCUGUAACUGACGCUGAGGCGCGAAAGCGUGGGGAGCAAACAGGAUAGAUACCCUGGUAGUCCACGCCGUAAACGAUGAGUGCUAAGUGUU